rnacentral:rRNA from 1 species
GAGUUUGAUCGUGGCUCAGGACGAACGCUGGCGGUGUGCUUAAUACAUGCAAGUCGAACGAAGCUUUCGGGCUUAAUGGCGGACGGCUGAGUAACACGUAGGUAACGUACCUUUCACUGGGGGAUAACACCGGGAAACCGGUGCUAAUACCGCAUAAGCUGCAGAUUGAGAUAUUUGCAGUUAAAGAUAUAUUGGUGAGAGAUCGGCCUGCGUCUGAUUAGCUUGUUGGUGGGUAAGAGCCUACCAAGGCGAUGAUCAGUAGUUAGGUCUGAGAGGAUGACCAGCCAGAGUGGGACUGAGAACGGCCCACACUUCUACGGAAGGCAGCAGUAGGGAAUUUUGCGCAAUGGGCGAAAGCCUGACGCAGCAACACCGCGUGCGGGAUGAAGGCCUCGG